rnacentral:rRNA from 1 species
GACAGAGGGUGCGAGCGUUGUCCGGAAUCACUGGGCGUAAAGGGCGCGAGGUGGUGGCUUAAGCGUGCGGUGAAAGCUCGGAGCUCAACUCCGAGUCGGCCGUGCGAACUGGGGCUCACUGGGAGCAUAGUAGAGGGCAGGUGGGAAUUCCGGGGUGUAGCGGUGGAAUGCGUAGAGAUCCGGAAAGAACACCGGUGGCGAAGGCGGCCUCUGGGGCUAUGGGCUGACACUAGGCGCGACACGUGGGGAGCAAACAGGG